AUUGAACGCUGGCGGAAUGCUUUACACAUGCAAGUCGAACGGCAGCACGGACUUCGGUCUGGUGGCGAGUGGCGAACGGGUGAGUAAUACAUCGGAACGUGCCCCGUCGUGGGGGAUAACGUAGCGAAAGCUACGCUAAUACCGCAUACGAUCUACGGAUGAAAGCGGGGGAUCGGAAGACCUCGCGCGACUGGAUCGGCCGAUGGCAGAUUAGGUAGUGGGUAGGGUAAAGGCCUACCAAGCCGACGAUCUGUAGCUGGUCUGAGAGGAUGAUCAGCCACACUGGGACUGGGACACGGCCCAGACUCCUACGGGAGGCAGCAGUGGGGAAUUUUGGACAAUGGGCGCAAGCCUGAUCCAGCCAUUCCGCGUGCAGGAUGAAGGCCUUCGGGUUGUAAACUGCUUUUGUACAGAACGAAAAGGCUCUGGUUAAUACCUGGGGCUCAUGACGGUACUGUAAGAAUAAGCACCGGCUAACUACGUGCCAGCAGCCGCGGUAA
rnacentral:rRNA from 1 species